rnacentral:rRNA from 1 species
CUAGAGCGGUUUGGGCGCGUGCUCCGCCUACGCUGGCUCUGGAUGUCUUGGCAGGAGCCGCAGAGACCUUGGGUCGGCUCGACCCUACCAUGCGACAGCUCCGAUGGGGCGCUUUUCUCUAUGGCAACAACAAUCACAGUGAAUGACGGCAGGUUGGCCAACUUCUGGCAGGAUUGAUGGCUCCAAGACUUGUGCCCAAAAACAGUGGCCCCUAACUUAUUUAAGAUAGCCGUCAGGAAGAAGCGCACUGUCCAGGAAGCAAUGCAUGAUAACAGAUGGCUGUUGGACCUUGCGCAGGGGCUCAUGGUACAGAUGGUGGGCGAAUUGACUCGGCUAGCUGGCUUGCUGGACUCGGUUGUCCUUGUCGAUGGUGUUCCUGACCAAAUUGCCUGGAGAUUCAAUACAAGCCAGGAAUACACUGCUAAGUCUGCCUAUCAGUUGCAGUUCCUGGGAUCGGUGCAAACGGAUGCAAUCAGACUCGUUUGGAAGGGGUGGGCCCCUGCAAAGUGCCGUUUCUUCAUCUGGACGGCAAUGCUGAGACGUAUCCUAACAUGUGACCUGCUUCUUCGUCGCGGCUAGGAGAACAACUACUCCUGCCCACUCUGUGAGCGAAACUUGGAAACAGCCUUCCACCUGUUGGUCGAGUGCACAUGGUCGCAGCAAGGUUGGCAGAGCCUGGCCGGACUUGCUAACAUGCCUUCUCUGCGGCCUACUAGCUGGACGGACACAACCAACAUCAAGGACUAGAUGGUAACCUGCUGGAAGAGUACCAUGCCGAGCAAGCGGAAAGGGGCCUUGUCCUUGCUGCUCCUGGUCUCUUGGGAGCUCUGGGCCGAGCGAAACAGGAGACUUUUUCAAGAUAAAAGGAUGGAGGUGCGCCCUUUCCUGCAGCGUGUGAAGGAUGAAAUCACGUUGUGGAAUUUGGCAGGAGCUGGGAUUCCUUUCGAUCCAGGCUGA